AGACCCAGAGGACUACGCAACAGGAAGUUGAUAGUGAUGAACCAUGCACAUCCCGCUUAAGAAGAUGUACAGAGGCUUUUGAAAUCGAAGCUGUAACCAAAGAACCAGUCACGCCCCAUUCAAAAGAACCAGUCACGCC